GGUGGCUCAGUGGUAGAGCGCUUGCCUUUCAUGCAUGAGGUCCUGGGUUCGAUUCCUUAGCACCA
rnacentral:tRNA from 1 species